AUAAUACUCCAUCCAUCCUAAAAUUCUUAUCUUAGAUUAGUCUAGAUACAGAUGUAUUCAAUACUAAAACAUGAUUUGAUAUAUCCGUCUUUAAACAAAUUUAAAACAAGAAUUUUGAGACGGAAGGAGUACUCC
rfam:Triticum aestivum genome assembly, contig: Triticum_aestivum_CS42_TGACv1_scaffold_374714_5AL